rnacentral:rRNA from 1 species
ACGCUCGACACCUACGGGAGGCAGCAGUGAGGAAUAUUGGUCAAUGGACGCAAGUCUGAACCAGCCAUGCCGCGUGCAGGAUGACGGCUCUAUGAGUUGUAAACUGCUUUUGUACGAGGGUAAACGCAGAUACGUGUAUCUGUCUGAAAGUAUCGUACGAAUAAGGAUCGGCUAACUCCGUGCCACAGCCGCGGUAAUCUGAGCGGGCUGGCAGGC